ensembl:lncRNA
AAAGUUUACAUUUUUUUUAACGCCCCGUGCCCACUACCUCCGUCAGUUGACCGUUGCCCAUUGACUUUGAAUGGGGACGGACGCGCAAUGCAUUGUGGAUCCGUCCGUUCAGUUGGAGCGUUCGCCACCGUCAGAAAGUUGAAAAAUGCUCAACUUUUUCGGCAGCGACGGUUCCGUCAUCCAAUCAGAUCGCGUAUGCAAAUGUAAGCACUGUGACGCGACUCGGGUUCUGACGAUACUGGAAAGCGGGAAAGCGGGUCAUCUUGCAUCGCAACAAGCAGGAAGAAGCGGGAAGAACCCGGCGAACCCAUUUGAUUGGCUGACGGAUGCAUCUGCAAAGACUACUCCCGCAUCCGUCAGCCACGCCUUCCCACGUCCGUUGACUGACGGUGCAGUGGGCACGAGGCGUAAUUUGUCAGUGAUUGAAUCCCAGCGAUGCCAUAUGAUUGAUUGUUCUGAUCAGCUGAUCUGAUUGGUUGUUCUGAUCAGCUGAUCUGAUUGGAUGUUCUGAUCAGCUGUGAUCUUAUUGGUUGUUCAUUCAGCUGUGAUAUGAUUGGUUGUAAUAAUCAGCUGUGAUAUGAUUGGUUGUUCAAUCAGCUGUGAUAUGAUUGGUUGUAAUGAUCAGCUGUGAUAUGAUUGGUUGUUCAAUCAGCUGUGAUAUGAUUGGUUGUAAUGAUCAGCUGUGAUAUGAUUGGUUGUUCAAUCAGCUUUGAUAUGAUUGGAUGUUCUGAUCAGCUGUGAUAUGAUUGGUUGUUCAUUCAGCUGCGAUCUGAUUGGUUGUAAUGAUCAGCUGUGAUCUGAUUGGUUGUUCCCCUUCCAGGUGAGCACUGGCCGAGUCUGCAGAAGAUGCAUCACAACGUCUCUCCCUCCCUAUUGGAUGGCCAGCAGGGCUCUCCGAGCCAAUCAGAAGUGGCAGCUCGCAAGGAGGAGGCGGAGACUGUGAGUGCCAUGGCGUCGUUGACCGUGGACGUCACGCAGGCCGGCUCCGCCUCCGUCACCAUGGAAACCAGCAGGUCCACAGAUGAGCCAAUGGAGGAAGAGCCUGUCUUGUAGGAGGGGCUUAAGCAGGACGUCACCAGCACUCCUUUCCUCAUCACACAAGGGGACGACGGGAUUGUCUGGAGGGGCAGACAGGAGAAGGCGGGCCUGUGACCAUGUUGUAACCAUGGAAACGAGGGAAGUGAUAGUACAGACACAACUUCCUAAACAUUCUCUCUCUCUCUCCCUCUCUCUUUCUCUCUCUUUCUCUUUAGAUGACAGACAGGAAGUGGGAUUGGUUUCCGAGGUUGCUGGUUCUAUUGCCUUAAAAUGACUGACUUUCUUCUCCUGUUUUGAUUGGUUCACCUGCCCUCUGUAAGCCACGCCCCCAGAGGCUUUUAGAACACUGUUAUUUUGUUGUUAUGUCACUUCAUGUGCUUCCUGUUUUGUUGUUGCCCACGGUUACGCCAAAAGCCAGUGAGUGUUAUGUCUUCUUAAACCGUGAAAUAUGAAACCUGUUUGAUGUUUUACACACGAGGAGAACCAACACACACACUGUCACACACUCACACUCUCACGCACACACACUGUCUCACACUCUCACGCACACACACUGUCUCACAAACACAGACACUCUGUUUCUAGUUUUGAUCGUCUGUCUUUUCCUGGGAAAUGUAUUAAUGUAUUAAUGUAUUAAUGCAAUUUAAUUUAAUACUGAAAAGCACAUUCCUGACCCCGCCUCCCUCCCUCCCUCUCCCUCCCUCCCUCCCGCCUUCUCUUCGUUGGUGUUUUAUG